GACGAACGCUGGCGGCGUGCUUAACACAUGCAAGUCGAACGAUGGAGCCGGAGCUUGCUCCGGUGGAUUAGUGGCGAACGGGUGAGUAACACGUGAGCAAUCUGCCCUUGACUCUGGGAUAACUGCGGGAAACUGUAGCUAAUACCGGGUACGACACCUUGGGGCAUCCCAGGGUGUGGAAAGAAUUUCGGUCAAGGAUGAGCUCGCGGCCUAUCAGCUAGUUGGUGAGGUAAUGGCUCACCAAGGCGACGACGGGUAGCCGGCCUGAGAGGGUGACCGGCCACACUGGAACUGAGACACGGUCCAGACUCCUACGGGAGGCAGCAGUGGGGAAUAUUGCACAAUGGGCGAAAGCCUGAUGCAGCAACGCCGCGUGAGGGAUGAAGGCCUUCGGGUUGUAAACCUCUUUUAGCAGGGAAGAAGCGAAAGUGACGGUACCUGCAGAAAAAGCACCGGCUAACUACGUGCCAGCCGCCGCGGUAA
rnacentral:rRNA from 1 species